AUUGAACGCUGGCGGCAGGCCUAACACAUGCAAGUCGAGCGGAGCGGCGGACGGGUGAGUAAUGCCUAGGAAUCUGCCUGGUAGAGGGGGAUAACGUCCGGAAACGGGCGCUAAUACCGCAUACUAUCAGAUGAGCCUCGGUCGGACUAGCUAGUUGGUGGGGUAAGGGCCUACCAAGGCGACGAACCGUACCUUGUCUGAGAGGAUGAUCAGUCACACGGUAACAGAGACACGGUCCAGACUCCUACGGGAGGCAGCAGUGGGGAAUAUUGGACAAUGGGCGAAAGGCUGAUCCAGCCAUGCCGCGUGUGUGAAGAAGGUCUUCGGAUUGUAAAGCACUUUAAGUGGGGAGGCGUUACCGACAGAAUAAGCACCGGCUAACUUCGUGCCAGCAGCCGCGGUAAUAC
rnacentral:rRNA from 1 species